UUCAACAGUGUGACACAUCCAGCGGAAGUAAACAAAACAAGCGCUACAGCAGCGUUAGCUCAAUAGAUGUAUGGAUGUAGCUGGGGGGUGAUGGUGUAGUUUUCGAUAAGAAAUAGUUUACUUAUAAUUAGACAACAAUGUGUUCAGUUGAGUUUUUGAGAGAGUUUGUCAACGAGCGACUAACUGCUGCUGCUGAAGAAAUAUUGGGAGUUUUUCAAAGAAGCAUCGUCGAGUACGAGGAAGAGAUCGAUCGUCAGCGCAGACUGUUGGAUAUCGUUUUGAAGCCUGAAAUAAAGUUACACAGGACAGAGCUCCCACAGCAACAUGUGUGUAAGGAGGAGGAGGUUGUCCCUGAGCAGCAGCUCUGUAUUGAGGAGAGGAAGUCCAGUGUGGACCAAGAGGAGCCAGAGCCUCCAGAGAUUAAAGAGGAAGAGGAGGAAGUGUGCAGCAGUCAGGAGGGAGAGCAGCUUGUAGUGAAGCAGGAGACUGAUGGCUUUAUGUUGACUCCUGCUGAUGAGGAAAGUGAGCACAGUGAAGAUCAGAAAAGACAGAAACCGAAAAACAGAUAUCAUGAAAGCUGUAGUUACAGUAACAAUGUAUACAACUCCACCAUGUCAAAUAUUCACUGUGAUACUCACUCAAGUAAAAAGUAUUUAGAAGGUGGGGGAGCUUAUAAGCAUACGUCAAAAUUGAACCCACACUUCCGAAUCCACAGAGGUGAGAAGUCAUUUACAUGUAGAACAUGUGGAACAGCUUUCAGACGUUACAGUGACUUGAAAGUCCACAUGAGAAUCCACACAGGAGAGAGGCCGUAUACUUGUAAAACAUGUGGGAAGGCUUUCAAACAUAGCAGCGUCUUGAACGUCCACAUGAGAACCCACACAGGUGAGAAACCGUACCUUUGCAAGACCUGCGGCAAAAGAUAUUGUGCGUUGUCCUCGUUGACAAGACAUGUGAGAAUCCACACGGGGGAGAAACCGUACCUUUGCAAGACCUGCAGGAAAAGAUUCAGUGACAUAUCAGUAUUGAAAAGGCAUUGUAGAAUCCACACAGGUGAGAAGCCACAUACUUGCACAACAUGUGGAAAAGCUUUCGGACUUAAAGGUAACCUGAAAGCCCACAUGAGAAUCCACACAGGUGAGAAGCUGUACGUUUUCAAGACCUGUGGGAAAGACCCUAUAACAUCUCCUCACUGACAAGGCAUGUAAGAAUCCAAACAGAUGAGAAGCAAUGAAACUUUAAAACAUGGGAAAGCUUUCUACCAGAACAGUGUCUUGAAAGCCACAUCAUAACUCACAGCGGUGAGAAGCUGUGACUUUCAGGAAAUAGUGUUGUCAGUGAAUCAAUGAUUAAUACAGUGACCAGUGUCCUGGGAAAGUGAGCAACGAACUGUUUUUGUUUUUUUUAUCUUGUGUGUUUUAAAAAUAAAGGUUUGCAUGUUGAUGAUUAAAGAAGAGGCUGAGGCUGAGAUGCAGCUGCUGGACAGAGCCACGAUCUGUUUGGAGACCAAAAACAAGCAUAAAAACAAUAUCCAAAUAAAGUAAAAAUGAAUUAAUACAGGUGUUCACAGAUUAGCCAGGGGUAAGAACAGAACAUUAACAGAAAUCUUAUAUGGGAUUAUGAGAUGUUAUACAGGGUGCACAGGUUCAGUGUUUUAGUACCUUUCUUAUUUUCUGAGAAUAAAAUUGACUUCAUAUAUUGUUUGAUCGGAAAUUUU